GACGAACGCUGGCGGCGUGCUUAACGCAUGCAAGUCGAACGGAAAGGCCUGCUUUCCCUUGUGGAUUGCGGGUACUCGAGUGGCGAACGGGUGAGUAACACGUGAGUGAUCUGCCCCCAACUUGGGUAUAAGCCUGGGAAACUGGGUCUAAUUCCCGAUAGGACUGCAGGGUGGUGCCUGUGGUGGAAAACGAUUUUCUAGUGGUUGGGGAUGAGCUCGCGGCCUAUCAGCUUGUUGGUGGGGUAAUGGCCUACCAAGGCGGCGACGGGUAGCCGGCCUGAGAGGGUGGACGGCCACAUUGGGACUGGGAUACGGCCCAGACUCCUACGGGAGGCAGCAGUGGGGAAGAUUGCACAAUGGGCGGAAGCCUGAUGCAGCGACGCCGCGUGGGGGAUGACGGCCUUCGGGUUGUAAACUCCUUUCGACCGCGAGGAAGCCACCUGGUUGGAAGGGUGGUGACGGUAGUGGUAGAAGAAGCACCGGCUAACUACGUG
rnacentral:rRNA from 1 species